rnacentral:rRNA from 3 species
AGAGGGGGGUAGAAUUCCAGGUGUAGCGGUGAAAUGCGUAGAGAUCUGGAGGAAUACCGGUGGCGAAGGCGGCCCCCUGGACAAAGACUGACGCUCAGGUGCGAAAGCGUGGGGAGCAAACAGGAUUAGAUACCCUGGUAGUCCACGCCGUAAACGAUGUCUACUUGGAGGUUGUGCCCUUGAGGCGUGGCUUCCGGAGCUAACGCGUUAAGUAGACCGCCUGGGGAGUACGGCCGCAAGGUUAAAACUCAAAUGAAUUGACGGGGGCCCGCACAAGCGGUGGAGCAUGUGGUUUAAUUCGAUGCAACGCGAAGAACC